rnacentral:lncRNA from 1 species
ACACAGAAGAAGAGGAUAGUGUGUGCAUUUUAUUUAGCUUCAGAUGCUGAUUUUCCGUAUUUUUCUGCUCUCAAAAUAGGCACAUAAGAUCUGAGCAUCACAAUGUUUCCCGCUAACUAAAAGGGCAGGUACAUGAUGAGAACAAUUCACACCAAUAAAUUAGAUGAAGCUCUGUACCAUUUCAUUUGCAACAUACAUACGACCUAUUUCUGGAACCAUAAUUAGUUCAAAACACUGAAAGGAACACUUAUCAAUUAUUAUAGCAAAUGACUGGAUAAGAAGUGAAAGGAAAUUACCACUUUAAAUUUGGCUUUCCAUCACUAUAUUCAUUCAUCUUUUGCUGCUAGCCAAAUCUGAAUAUAUCAGAUCAACAAAAGUAGACAUGUCGUUAAAUUCAUAGAAAAAGUAAUUAUUAGUUUCCAAAGGCACCAACAUUUUACAAGAAAAAGACAUGCCGAAACACUGCCACUAAGCUAUGAAGACUCCAUCCAAAAGUACAGCUACGCCAUUCAACAAAUGUAAUCAUGUUACAACAAUUAGCUGCUUGCAUAGGAAACAAGGAUC